CCUACGGGUGGCAGCAGUGAGGAAUAUUGGUCAAUGGACGAGAGUCUGAACCAGCCAAGUAGCGUGAAGGAUGACUGCCCUAUGGGUUGUAAACUUCUUUUAUAUGGGAAUAAAACGUUCCACGUGUGGGAUUUUGUAUGUACCCUAUGAAUAAGGAUCGGCUAACACCGUGCCAGCAGCCGCGGUAAUACGGAGGAUCCGGGCGUUAUCCGGAUUUAUUGGGUUUAAAGGGAGCGUAGGUGGAUUGUUAAGUCAGUUGUGAAAGUUUGCGGCUCAACCGUAAAAUUGCAGUUGAAACUGGCAGUCUUGAGUACAGUAGAGGUGGGCGGAAUUCGUGGUGUAGCGGUGAAAUGCUUAGAUAUCACGAAGAACUCCGAUUGCGAAGGCAGUUCACUGGACUGCAACUGACACUGAGGCUCGAAAGUGUGGGUAUCAAACAGGAUUAGAUACCCGGGUAGUC
rnacentral:rRNA from 1 species